rnacentral:rRNA from 1 species
UGGGGAAUAUUGCGCAAUGGGCGAAAGCCUGACGCAGCGACGCCGCGUGAGGGAUGAAGGUUUUCGGAUCGUAAACCUCUGUCAGAAGGGAAGAAACCGCACUGUGCUAAUCAGCAGUGCCUUGACGGUACCUUCAAAGGAAGCACCGGCUAACUCCGUGCCAGCAGCCGCGGUAAUACGGAGGGUGCAAGCGUUAAUCGGAAUUACUGGGCGUAAAGCGCACGUAGGCUGCUUUGUAAGUCAGGGGUGAAAUCCCACGGCUCAACCGUGGAACUGCCUUUGAUACUGUUUAGCUUGAAUCCUGGAGAGGGUGGCGGAAUUCCAGGUGUAGGAGUGAAAUCCGUAGAUAUCUGGAGGAACAUCAGUGGCGAAGGCGGCCACCUGGACCGGUAUUGACGCAGAGGUGCGAAAGCGUGGGGAGCAAACAGG